CCUACGGGCGGCAGCAGUGAGGAAUAUUGGUCAAUGGACGAGAGUCUGAACCAGCCAAGUAGCGUGAAGGAUGACUGCCCUAUGGGUUGUAAACUUCUUUUAUAUGGGAGUAAAAUGUUCCACGUGUGGGAUUUUGUAUGUACCAUAUGAAUAAGGAUCGGCUAACUCCGUGCCAGCAGCCGCGGUAAUACGGAGGAUCCGAGCGUUAUCCGGAUUUAUUGGGUUUAAAGGGAGCGUAGGUGGAUGGUUAAGUUAGUUGUGAAAUUUUGCGGCGCAACCGUAGAAUUGCAGUUGAAACUGGCAGGCUAGAGUGCAGUAGAGGUAGGCGGAAUGCGUGGUGUAGCGGUGAAAUGCUUAGAUAUCACGCAGAACUCCGAUUGCGAAGGCAGUUCACUGGACUGCAACUGACACUGAGGCACGAAAGUGUGGGGAUCAAACAGGAUUAGAUACCCUAGUAGUC
rnacentral:rRNA from 1 species